UGGGUUGUAAACUGGCUUUUAUACGGGAAGAAACACUCCUUCGUGAAGGAGCUUGACGGUACUGUAAGAAUAAGGAUCGGCUAACUCCGUGCCAGCAGCCGCGGUAAUACGGAGGAUCCAAGCGUUAUCCGGAAUCAUUGGGUUUAAAGGGUCCGUAGGCGGGACAAUAAGUCAGCGGUGAAAGUCUGUGGCUCAACCAUAGAAUUGCCAUUGAUACUGUUGUUCUUGAGUGUUUAUGAAGUGGUUGGAAUAUGUAGUGUAGCGGUGAAAUGCAUAGAUAUUACAUAGAACACCGAUUGCGAAGGCAGAUCACUAAUAAAAUACUGACGCUGAUGGACGAAAGCGUAGGUAGCGAACAGGAUUAGAUACCCUGGUAGAUGGA
rnacentral:rRNA from 1 species